rnacentral:rRNA from 1 species
UACGGAGGAGGCAAGCGUUAUCCGGAAUUAUUGGGCGUAAAGCGUCCGCAGGUGGUUAAUCAAGUCUGCUGUCAAAGCGCGAGGCUCAACUUCGUAAAGGCAGUGGAAACUGAUUGACUUGAGUUUGGUAGGGGUAGAGGGAAUUCCCAGUGUAGCGGUGAAAUGCGUAGAUAUCGUUUGGAACGCCAAUGGUGAAAACAGGUUGACUGGGAGUGUGCUGACGCUGAGACACGAAAGCCAGGGGAGCAAACGGG